CCUACGGGUGGCUGCAGUAAGGAAUAUUGGUCAAUGGACGAAAGUCUGAACCAGCCAUCCCGCGUGCAGGAUGAAAGCCCUAUGGGUUGUAAACUGCUUUUAGCAGAGAAGAAAAGCUUUCAUUAAUGAGAGUCUGACGGUAUCUGCAGAAUAAGCACCGGCUAACUCCGUGCCAGCAGACGCGGUAAUACGGAGGGUGCGAGCGUUACCCGGAAUUACGGGGGUGAAGGGGUGCGAAGGAGUCAUAGGAGAAAGCUUGUCGCUUAACGAUAGAAUUGCCAAUGAUACUGGUACUCUUGAAUUGGGUUGAGGUUAGCGGAAUGUGACAUGUAGCGGUGAAAUGCAUAGAUAUGUCAUGGAACACCAAUUGCGAAGGCAGCUAACUGGGCCUUGAUUGACGCUGAGGCACGAAAGCGUGGGUAGCGAACAGGAUUAGAUACCCCAGUAGUC
rnacentral:rRNA from 1 species